UUUGUGCUAAAUACAGAUGCAAGACUGUAUUUGUACCCAGCACAGAUGCAAGGACAUAUUUGUAUUAAACACGGACACAAGGCUGUCUUUGUACUAAAUAAAGAUGCAAAGCUAUAUUUGACCUAAAUAGACUCUGAAGCUGUGUUUAUAGUAAGGACAGACGCAAGGCUGUAUUUGUACUACGUACAGAAACAAGGCUAUAUUUUUGCAAAACAGAUGCUGACCAGAUUUGGUUUUUGCUACGGAUGCCAGGCAAACUAAAAAGAGGUGAUGUCAUGGCAUGGAAAGAUGCGUGGAAAGAACCGAUGCAGUGAAUGAUAGAGUCUGGGUACAAACUGGAGGGGAGAGAAGUGGAUCAAAGGGGUAGCUUCCAAAAGCGAAGAAUCAAGGACAGUGAGGUUGGAUGGAAACCUUCGGAAGAGUGCAACUGAAGCAUUUGUGGAAAGCUGGAACUGCCGAGGUCAGUGGCAGAUGGCCACAAACACCUCCACCAGAAUUCCCCUGGAGGUAGCAGUGAACUUUCAGCUGCCACAGGCAUUGCCAGAGGCAUCCUAGCAGGACCCGGAGGGGGACGUGGACAGCGAACAAGCGAAGUCGCCAUCUCCACCGAGUCCUGCAGAAACACCCACGCAGCGAUGGUGGUGUGGUCAUCCAGUGUGGUUUCUCAACGGCAGAGGACAGAUCCCACCCGCCCAUGCUGACCCCUACUGCACACCGACCUGCAGUGACCCCCCCCACCUAAACAUGGAUCUUAAGGAAUAAGAGCAAAGCCUGAUGUUCCUCGCAGGCCCGCGACUUCCAGACAGCCGCCAUCACCACUGUCGCGUCAUGGGAACCAUGAAUUGACGUCACGCAGCGAGCCGAGCUCCGGAGCCUGUGUGCAGCGGGCAGAUUAAAGCGGCAUUAUCCGGUGCAGCCUGCAGGAAGGGCUGCGUGUGCAUGUGUAUUCAUGUGUAUGUGUGUUAAAGCACACGGAUAAUACUCCAUGAUAAGGACAACAUAAAGCCAUACAAAUUCUGCCAGAUUUUCAAAGGGCAUCUCCAGCUAUUGACUGCAGAUAAAUGGAGCACUGUGGAAAGUCUUAGGCCACUGAAAACUAUGUUUAAAUUAAUCUGGUGUAAAACUAUGAUAUUAUGUCUGUCAGUACCAGCCAUCAUGCUGAAUAUGACCACCAGCAUAUCUUAUUUGGCUAAAGAAUACCCUAUAAAGUUAAUAAACUGAAUUAAGUGGGUAAAAUCUAACAAAUACAUGGAAGGAAUGUGCUCUUAUCUUAUCUCUUAUGCCAGUAACGUUUUUGACACAAAGAAAAACAUUCUUAUGACUUUUUAUUGGUCAUUUUCUAUCACAUAGUGCUCAACUGGUUGCUUGAAGCAGAAUCUUGGUCUGGACUUUUACUCUCCGGAUCUGAACUACCCAGGUCUGUGAUACAGUACAACAAUUAACAACAGGCAUGAUAAUUAGUGUAGUAUGACCACUUAACAGAGUGUGAGGUCCUAAGGUGAGUUCCUCUGCAGCACAGAGAUGCUUUAAACAGAUCAAAAAACUCGGUAGAUUCCCAAAUGCACUAGAGCCAAUUUCAAACCGAAAAA